CCUACGGGGGGCAGCAGUGGGGAAUAUUGGACAAUGGGGGCAACCCUGAUCCAGCCAUGCCGCGUGUGUAAAGAAGGCCCUCGGGUUGUAAAGCACUUUCAGUGAGGAAGAACGCCUGGUGGUUAAUACCCAUCAGGAAAGACAUCACUCACAGAAGAAGCACCGGCUAACUCCGUGCCAGCAGCCGCGGUAAUACGGAGGGUGCGAGCGUUAAUCGGAAUUACUGGGCGUAAAGCGCGCGUAGGUGGCUUGAUAAGCCGGUUGUGAAAGCCCCGGGCUCAACCUGGGAACGGCAUCCGGAACUGUCAAGCUAGAGUGCAGGAGAGGAAGGUAGAAUUCCCGGUGUAGCGGUGAAAUGCGUAGAGAUCGGGAGGAAUACCAGUGGCGAAGGCGGCCUUCUGGACUGACACUGACACUGAGGUGCGAAAGCGUGGGUAGCAAACAGGAUUAGAUACCCUGGUAGUC
rnacentral:rRNA from 1 species